GCAAAAGCAACUUCAUUACUUUGUAAUUUUGAUUCCGAAGUGAAUAUCUUUUCAGUUGAAGAUUAUGGAAACUACCUGCGCAGGUUUUUAGGCUAAUUUCAGUUGAAUAUCAUUUAUAAUUCUUAUUUUAAUAUAUUUAUGAUUAAUUUUUCUGUUAUGAAAUUUUUAGGUAAUAACAAUUGGUCGGAGAUUAUCAUCCUACUACUAUUUCCUCUUCUCAGUACUACUGAUGAUGACAAUGUGAAUGACAAUCUUGAUCUUCUUGUUGUCCCUCAACAUGGGAGAAACCCUAACUACACUGGUUAAUUACACUGUUACUCUUUUGUGUUAUGUGUAAUUGAAUAAAGUGAUGGGUACUUUUACCUAUCGUUCUGUCAAUUAUGUGAUUGUCAGUUUGGUUCAAUUCAACUGAUAAAAUCUCUCGAGAUAUAUGAGAGAUUUUAUUUGUUUAUUUACGUGUAUCGUGUAUUCCUGAAAAAGGAAAUAAAUAAAUAAAUAUUGUUGCUUGUCUAUGUGUU
rnacentral:lncRNA from 1 species